rnacentral:rRNA from 1 species
ACGGGUGCGUAACGCGUGGGAAUCUGCCCUUUGGUUCGGAAUAACAGCUGGAAACGGCUGCUAAUACCGGAUGAUGACGAAAGUCCAAAGAUUUAUCGCCAGAGGAUGAGCCCGCGUUGGAUUAGGUAGUUGGUGGGGUAAAGGCCUACCAAGCCGACGAUCCAUAGCUGGUCUGAGAGGAUGAUCAGCCACACUGGGACUGAGACACGGCCCAGACUCCUACGGGAGGCAGCAGUGGGGAAUAUUGGACAAUGGGCGAAAGCCUGAUCCAGCAAUGCCGCGUGAGCGAUGAAGGCCCUAGGGUUGUAAAGCUCUUUUACCCGGGAAGAUAAUGACUGUACCGGGAGAAUAAGCCCCGGCUAACUCCGUGCCAGCAGCCGCGGUAAUACGGAGGGGGCUAGCGUUGUUCGGAAUUACUGGGCGUAAAGCGCACGUAGGCGGCUUUGUAAGUCAGAGGUGAAAGCCUGGAGCUCAACUCCAGAACUGCCUUUGAGACUGCAUCGCUUGAAUCCAGGAGAGGUCAGUGGAAUUCCGAGUGUAGAGGUGAAAUUCGUAGA